UUCCAAAUCAUGCCAGUGACUGAUGCGCGCCUUGCCAGUACCUGUGGCUGUUCAAUUGCUCUUAACUGUGGGCGCCAUUUUUUUGUGAUGCUAGUUAAAUGCCCUGUCUCUGUUAGUCUGUUGCGUUCUCCUCCUCUGUGUUUGGAUAUUGCUCUCCGUGGUUACUAAGUCAGCUAAAUAAGCCAACUCAUUUUUCAGGACCACUCCAUUCUACUCAUGCUCCUAGUAAAGCAAAUUGGUGGAGGCAUGUUUUCUUUAAGGCUUGUCCUUUAGAGACCAUACAUUCAUAGUUAUUGAGAUUUUGAAUUGUGAUCCGUUAGUCCUCUGUGAUGUUGGGGCUGGAGUUGUAGAUUAUAAAUAUCUAGCUAGAGAUUAUAGGUUGUAUAA